GACGUGCAUCCAAAACACGCUAAACACUGUUUCACUUAAGCGUUGUUCCUCUCAGCUUUACCAAAAACUAAAGUUGUCCUUCUCAACUUAAUUUUUCACACCCCGCUCAAUGUUCUAAGUUUCCCUCUCCAUGAAAAUUCCAUUCCCUCUCGAUGAAGCCCUCUCUCCAUAUCUGAGUUCAAACCCCCUCUCUCUCUCUCCUUCUCUAUCACAUCUCUGCACCUAAACCCUCUCUCUCCAGCUCAAUCUUUUCUAAGCCGACUCUCACAUCUCAGAGAGACAGAGGCAACGAGGAGGUGGACUUCGGUGUCGGCUUCGUCACGAGGAUCGACGUCGGCGCCGUCUUCUGGAUCGUCGUCGGCGCCAUCUUCUGGAUAGUCGUCUUCUGGGUCACGGUCUUCGCGGUCCUAGCCUUUUAGAGAAGAAGAUCGCCAAAGAGGUUUCAUUUCAUUUUCCUCGACUCUCCGACCCCGACCCCAACCCCAACUCCAAAUCCUCUCUUCGAUCUCGGACCUCAAGGAUCUUGUGGACUUGCUGGAAUUGAAUGUGCCUCUCAUAUAUAAUGUAAUUUCUAAACUACAAUACCUUGACCUUUGGGGGAGUAAAAUAUCUGACCAAGGUAGUUGCUGGAUUAGCAGCAGAUGGAAGGCAAAUUGUUGGCAGGACCAAGUCUGAAGCUAACUAUGAAAGCCUACAUGAUAGUGUAUACAUCAUUAACUUUCUCUUUGAAUCUCUCUCUCAGUAAAGCAGGUAGUAGUGGAUUAGUCCUCAAGCUGCUGUCAUUCUAAAGCUGCAUAGAUCUUAUUUCGACACCACCAACUUGAAAAAUGUGCAAGAAGGCAGAGCUAAGUCAACCCAAUAACAAAUUGAUGAAGUCAAGAUCAAAUUAGUAGAAUUUGUGAGCUCAAUUAUAUCUAAUUAUAGGUAGGAAGUAUGUAAUAGAAUAAAGAUUGGUUGACUAUGUAAUAACUAUUGAAUCUUCAAGUUUUAUGAAAGAAAUAAUUUUUGA